AUUGAACGCUGGCGGCAGGCCUAACACAUGCAAGUCGAGCGAGCGGCGGACGGGUGAGUAAUGUAUGGGGACUGCCCGAUAGAGGGGGAUAACUACUGGAAACGGUAGCUAAUACCGCAUACUAUCGGAUAACCCAUAUGGGAUUCGCUAGUAGGUGAGGUAAUGGCUCACCUCGGCGACGAUCCCUAGCUGGUCUGAGAGGAUGAUCAACCACGUGGGGACUGAGACACGGACCAGAAUCCUACGGAGGAAGCAGUGGGGAAUAUUGAACAAUGGGGGCAAGCCUGAUGCAGCCAUGACGCGUGUAUGAAGAAGGCCCUAGGGUUGUAAAGUACGUUCAGUCGGGAGGCGUUACCGACAGAAGAAGCACCGGCUAACUCCGUGCCAGCAGCCGCGGUAAUUC
rnacentral:rRNA from 1 species